AACAAACUAGCUUUCUAUUAUUACACGAAUAUGAUUACAAGGUCUCCGAUAUUACAAUGAAUAACAUCGGCACGGCAACACUACGCCAUCCUCAGUUGCUCUAUGCAAGCAGCAGAACAACUCGAAGCAGCGGAAUAACUCUAACAGCGGAAAAACUACUGGCAGCGGAACAACGACGGCGGUGGUGAACUCCAAUCCGCAGGGACUCUGGCUGGAACGCUUAUCCUAGCUUGCAAACAAAGAAUCCACGACAAACAAGCAUGCAAUCCAGGCACGACCUGCAAGCUGGCAUGCCACGCCAGGUCAGUACAUUGAAUGUACUUGCAAGCUCACAAUAAACCAGAAGCAUUCAAGACAAAUAACAGCAUGGAAAUUACAGGUUAAGCAGGAAUUAACAUGAGAUCCUCAUAAUAACAUGACAUGAACAACAUGACAUACAAAGUAGUACUCCCAAAAUAAUACCAACUACCAUCAUGAAAAUAAUCAUAAUAGCCACUAAGAAUCCAAAGGCAACAUGAACAUGAUACCGCUAGAACAAUAUGAGCAUGGCAUGAACAUAUGAAUCUGAUGAUACUAGCAUCCAACAUGAUAACACUACAUGCACCAAUUAUUCUGCUCGGGUUAUCUCGUAACCAUCACACGCAGCACUUACCAACCUCGGACAUCACACGAUCAUCUCAGGAUCAAAUCAAGCUUGGUAUAAACAAUACCGUAGUAAUCAUUAAAUGACCACAAGGAGCUUGAUCUUUACCCAUGAUUCUCGCACAACAUCACGAAUAUCAAACAACUCGGUAUCCUCGAUACCACCAUGAUCCUUCCGACGAUCACAACCACGACCAACACUUGGUCUCAAACCGUGAUCCUUACGGCGAUCACAACCACGACCAAUAUUUGGCUCAUGAUCCUUACGACGAUCACAACCACGACCAAUAUUUUGCCCGUGAUCCUUACAGCGAUCACAACCAAUUUAUCUCAUCUUCGAAUCGUGGUUGUUAUUAAUCAAGUUAUUAUUAAUAUUGUUGACUCACGGUGGGAUCUACACGAACUGGGCCCUUAUCCGUGGGCGCGGCUACCGAUAGAUUAAUAUACACUCUGUAGAGGUCAGCACACUGUACCCACACCACGGAACCCAUGGCUUCGCACUCCCAUUCGGGUGGACCAACGACGUUCCGACAAAACUUAUCUAUUGUCAUGACACUCUCCCGGCCACUUCGACCCACUGCCAACUGGGUUAGUCCUGGGUGGCCCCGUGUCUACGAAAGACACCCCGACCACCGUCGUGGUCAAACUCCCUCACGGGGAAAACUCCCUCACGGGGACCGGAUCCAUAAAAACAAUGGGCACACAAGGUUAUGUCUGCUUACCGGGCCAGGGUACGCACGCCCAUAACCUUCCCUAGUUGGAGGCACCGGCGGGAUGCAUGACAAUAGACCCAGUUAGGACCUUACCCAUACGGUAAGCGUGGUUGCACUGGUCAGUUUCGAUCUGGCGGCACCAUGACUCAGCCAACAGUUGUUCAAGUUCAAUUAAAUCCGAUUAAACUUGAAUGCAAUAUGCUGAGCCAUGAUAAAAUAACAUGAUGCAUUUACAAAGCAUGAGCAUGAUAUCAACAUAAGCACAGGAAGCAACACAACUGUCCAUCAUAUCAACUAUGAAAUAAUCUCAAACUGAACAUGGCAUAAUGACGAGCAUAAAUAUUACAAGUGCAACACUACUCAUAGUAUAACAUAACAUGACCACUAGCAUUAACCAUAAAUAACAUGCAAGAACUUAUCAAUAACAUCACCGAGUUACACUUAACCAACUAACAGCAACUGAACAAUGCCUAUUAACAAUACUCGGUAACCGACGUUAGUCAUGCACCGAAGAGCAUGACCAACCCAACAUGUACUACUAUCAAGCAUGGAAAUAUGAAAGUAAUACUAACAACUAGCAGGGCAUGAUAACCAGGUGCAUAACAACAUAGCAAACAAGUAGGCACUAACCCAGAAACAUUACUGAAACAACGAUAACCAUCUUUUAAACAAGCAAUCAUUUAAUAAAUAUUCAAGUUUAAAACCAUAGCUACUGCAUGACUAUCAUGCAAGUAGGUAUUGUGGCUUGCCUGGGGAUGAAGAAUACUCCGGGAAGAAGUGCGGUGAAGCCGCGGAAAGAUUUGCCGA
rnacentral:lncRNA from 1 species